rnacentral:other from 1 species
GUAACAUUCUUCUACGAGGCUGAAAGGAUGAAGUAUGCAACU